CAUUAAGGAAUAGAUGAUUGUUAAAGGUGUGUAGUUGAAGAACAACAUGGCAAUUUAAAAUAUCUAUUCUUUUAUCCAGGAUAAAGCUGUAACCCAAAUUAAUAACAAAAAAAAGAAUGAAGUAAAAGUCAGCUGGAAAGCUUCGGAAACGGGAUUAUAUUUUUUCAGAGCUACAUUUACUGAGAGCUUUCAAAUAUUUUGGGAUGCUAAAGCAGUCCUGUCCUCAACUACGGCACCAGCCACGACACCAGACCCUGUAACGACACCAGACCCUGCAACAACACCAGACCCUGUAACAACAACAGACCCUGUAACAACAACAGUGCCUCUAACAACACCAAAUCAUGCAACAACAACCAUCUUAACAAUAGCAACAUCAACACCAGCAUCAACAUCUGCAUCAGCGUCAAUACCAACAUCAGCAUCAACAUCAACAUUAUUCCCAGAAUCUGCUCCACCGCCAACAUUUUUGUUUGAAUCAUCUCUGACUCUACAUUUCCUGAGUUAUCUUUCCCUUGCUAUGUGCAGUCCUUUCCUAGUGAAAGCACAUAUAGGUGCUUGGAUAAAGGUGACAUCAGUUAUGUCUUUGGCAUUUUCAUUGGCUGCUUUCAUUCUCCUAUUAAUAGACACCAAACAAGUUGAAAACAAAAUUCUGGCAGGAGUGGAAGCAAGCUUGAACUUGUGCCAAACCGUUCUUGUAUUCCUUCUCUGUGGACCGAGCCAUGAAUUAAGGAAGAUUUUCUGCUGGGUGCUCAGGAUCAUUGCAGUCAUAAACUGUUGUUUUACAAUUGCUAUACUAUUUGUAGGUCUUGUGGAGCAUUGCUCUAAAAGCUCCUGCUUCUGGCCCUACAUAUUAAUGGGAGUAUAUUUAGGGUGUCAACUGCUGUCAUGUAUAUUUUUUCUAUACGGGGAACUAAAACAAAAGAGCGGACAACAAAUUGCCUCAAAGAAACAAAAGUGCAGAGUAUCUUGCUGGUGUACCUGCAUUUAUAGUGUGAUAAACAUAGCAUUUACGGUAGCACUGGUAUUGGGAAUUUUUUUGUGCCACUAUAAGGUUGAGACCUGAAGAGACAAAGGUUAUAAUAUAUUUUAAUUAUGUAUAGGUUUUGUUUGUGCUACUUUUCUAUAUCAAUAGUUACUCAGAAUAGACUACCAAAAGUACUGGAAUACAAAGGCAUUUUUCAAUUUUUUUCACAAUCUACUAAAGACAUUUGAUAUAAAAUAAGUGUGAGACAAAUACUGAGAGUUACACAUAUCAGCACUUUUCAGUAGGAUGGCCAGUGGACUAUGAUGUUUGCGGAUGAUAUUGUGAUUAGUGGUGAAAUUAGGGAGCAGGUUAAGAAGAGCCUGAAGAGAAGAGGAAUGAAAAUCAGUAGGAGUAAGACAGAGUACAUGUGUGAAUUAGAGGGGGAGGGUGCUUGGAGGGAGAAGAGGUGGAGAAGGUGGAGGAGUUUAAGUACAUGGGGUGAUAGCAGGAGUUAUGAGGCAUUGAGUAAAAGACAGGAGGUGGAGCUGGAGGUAGCAGAACUGAAGAUGUUUUCAUUGGCAUUGACGACGAUGGACAGGAUUAGAAACAAGUUUAUUAGAGGGACAGCACAUGUAGGACGUUU